CAGGUAGCCGCGACAGUUCCGUGUCGCGCGCCACGACAACGAUCGCCUUCUCGGACGCCGGCAGAGGACGGCCGGCACAACCGCCGGGCCGCAAAAAAUCGGUUAGUUUUCGCGGGCUGCUGCAGGCGCUCUUAGACUCUGCGAUGUUGAACGAAGUCAGGUACCUGAAGUAGCGCGCGAAAACAUAACUAAACCGACGGGUCGCAGUCGCCGCCGCCGCCGCCGCCACGACUGCAACGGACGCGGCCAUCGGAACGGACGCGAUGAUCGUUCGCGCGACUAUCACCUGAACGACGACGACGACGACGACGACGACGACGAUAACACGAGGGUAAUUGUUAUUGUGAGUGCCGCACA